GAAUUCACUAGUGAUUCAGGCCUAACACAUGCAAGUCGAGGGGUAGAACACUUCGGUGUUUGAGACCGGCGCACGGGUGCGUAACGCGUAUGCAAUCUACCUUGUACAGGGGAAUAGCCCAGAGAAAUUUGGAUUAAUGCCCCAUAGUAUAUAACCUUCGCAUGUUGGUUAUAUUAAAGUUCCAACGGUACAAGAUGAGCAUGCGUCCCAUUAGUUAGUUGGUAAGGUAACGGCUACCAAGACGAUGAUGGGUAGGGGUCCUGAGAGGGAGAUCCCCCACACUGGGACUGAGACACGGACCAGACUCCUACGGGAGGCAGCAGUGAGGAAUAUUGGUCAAUGGUCGCAAGACUGAAAAGGCCAUGCCGCGUGCAGGAAGACGGUCCUAUGGAUUUAAAGGGCUUUUAUACAGGAAGAAACCCUCCCACGUGUGGGAGCUGAC
rnacentral:rRNA from 1 species